rnacentral:rRNA from 1 species
UACGUAGGGGGCUAGCGUUGUCCGGAUUUAUUGGGCGUAAAGAGCGUGUAGGCGGCCAGGUAGGUCUGCUGUGAAAACUCGAGGCUCAACCUCGAGACGUCGGCGGAAACCAUCUGGCUAGAGUCCGGAAGAGGAGAGUGGAAUUCCUGGUGUAGCGGUGAAAUGCGCAGAUAUCAGGAAGAACACCCGUUGCGAAGGCGGCUCUCUGGGACGGUACUGACGCUGAGACGCGAAAGCGUGGGGAGCGAACAGG